GGAUUGUGGCUUAGUGGUAGAGUGCUUGUCUCGCACGUGUGAGGCACUGGGUUCAAUCCUCAGCACCA
rnacentral:tRNA from 1 species